rnacentral:rRNA from 1 species
UACGUAGGGUGCGAGCGUUGUCCGGAAUUACUGGGCGUAAAGCGCGCGCAGGCGGUUGGUCGCAUCGGCGGUGAAAGCCCCCCGCUCAACGGGGGAGGGUCCGUCGAGAUGGGCCGACUGGAGGCAGGGAGAGGUCAGUGGAAUUCCGGGUGUAGUGGUGAAAUGCGUAGAGAUCCGGAGGAACACCAGUGGCGAAGGCGGCUGACUGGACCUGACCUGACGCUGAGGCGCGAAGGCGUGGGGAGCGAACGGG